ACAGAUUAAUGACCUCUCACACGGUGCCAAUUAAGUAUAUUACUGAUAUGUGGUGCAGUAUAUCGAAUAUAUUCCUGUCAUAAAAAAUACCGUAAAGAAGUCAUGUGAUUGAACAGAUGUACUUUAAUGUGUCCCUGGACUGUUGCCGAUUAUUCUAAUCAGGCAUUUAUCGGGCAGCCAAGCUAAAAUUAGCGACGCGGACGAGCUAGCCUUUUACACACGAAUAACACCUGUAAAGUUUCUCGGCAAACUCUUCACUAAUAUCGCACCUGCUCACAAAUCGACAGACAUGAUGAACCAGGAAGCCAUAUUGGCGAAGCUGAAGAAGGAUGUCCGCUCUUUACUCGUUUCCUCUAAAGUGGAUUUGGACCCUGAACUACUCCGAAAGGACUACAAAAGUAUGUUGGGCCAUCCUCUGCCUCUGAAAAUCCUGGGCUUCCGAAACAUCAUGGAUAUGGUAAAGGAGAUGCCUGAUGUGGUGUCUGUUUAUGUCAGAGAGGAUGGUAAAACUUUCUUGAAGGCUGUUAGCCAUGAGUCGACACGAAACAUUGAGGAAAUGGUAGCUAAACAGCGUAAAUCCAGUCUUGACAUAAAAAGACAAAACUGUCAGUUGUCUUCCUUCCGCACCUGUCACCCGUCAAUCCCGUUGGUUCUUCCCAGAAGAGGUGUUGCUCCUCUCGCUCUUCCUCCUCAGCUGAGGUCACAGCUGCGUAUCCUCCUCUCAAUGGGUCCCCUGAGGUUGUCAGAACUAGGGACCAGUUUUCUGCGCUGCUUUGGCUGCCCUCUACGUGUUCACGAUUUUGGAUUCUACUCUAUUGGGGAGAUGCUGGAAGCUGCAAAAGACUUAGUCCAGAUCCAUCAGGGGAUGUUUGGCUCCAUACUGACUCUGAAAGAGCAAAUGGUGCCAAGACCAUUUAACACACAACAGAACCUUGGAGCACCAAAGACCACAACCGAAGCGAGUAUGCCGACCUCAACAAAAUCCCCAGAUACCACUGGGAAUUCUGUGCAAGAGGAGUCAACUUGUGUCAGUUGCAAUCCGCAAGUAAUUGACAAGAACCAAGAACCUGAACCUCUGCUCUGCCAGAAAAGUCAACUUUUUUCUCAGCGUUUCCUAAAGCUCCAAGAGGAGUUUCAAAAGCAGAUUGUUGAGAAUGGAAUUGCUGGAACCAUAAAUCACAGACUGAAAGAGAAACUGCUAAAGGUCGUGAGUCAAAGUACCUGUGGAAUAUCUGUCCACCAUCUCCCUGAAGAGUAUAAGAGGGUUUGGGGUGAGGAGUUGCCACUGAAAGAGAAUGGCUUUGUCAGUGUCACUGAGCUAGUUGAUGCCAUGAGUGACAUCUUACACCUGCAAGAUACAGAGAGGGACGAUCAACACGACUGGGUCGUUAAAAAUAUUCAGGAUGGUCUUCCUUUACACUCAGGUGAUCCUGGUAUAAAUCAGUCACAAACAAGUUGUCACAUCUUAUCAGAGGACGUGGUGGAAGUAUUGACAAACAACCAUUUUGUGAAGCAAGAAACGAUGUCAGAGCUUUGUCCGCCCAUUAAGAUGCAUUUUAGCGCGGUUGUGCCCCUGGAUGCAAUGCAGAAUCAACAUCUUACACGCCCGACACGCCAUUCUGCUUCAGAGUGGGUACAAGUCAGGGUGGAACAUGUGGAAUCUCCAGGACUCUUCUAUACCUGCUUCAACAAUAGUGAGGAGGCUCAAAUCUUUGAGGACAUGAAGGUAGAGAUGAGGCUAUGUUACUCCUCUCCUGACGUGUCAGAGCGCUACCGCCUCCCCAAGCGAUUUGUCCGUCAAGGGCAGGUCUGCUGCACAUUAUACAAGAACCUGUACGUCACACGAGGGGUGAUUCACAAGGUCAUUCGACCCGCUGUUGUUCAGGUCUAUCAUGUGGACUUGGGCGUGGUGACCACUAUGCACAUUGCUAACCUGAUGUUCCUCAAGUCAUGCUUCUCCAUUCUUCCAGCACAAGCUGUCCCAUCAUCCCUAGCUGGAAUUAAACCAACAUCUGGUGCCUGGACUUUCGAGGCCACUGCAUCAUUUGUCAAUCUUUGCUGUAAUCGUCCCUUAGUAGGUGCUGUGUUUUCUUACAUUGGAGAUGUGCUCCAGGUCUACCUUUGUGAUACCCAGACUGACAAGGACCUCUACAUCCACUCUGUCCUCGUCAGCCAGGGUCAUGGAAAGGCCUGCAGCCCCUCAGCCAGUGAACCAUUGUGUGUUCAGGUCAGCCCUGUAAGUUUAUACCUGGGGGAAGGCACCUUCCAUCUACCAGAUGUUGAAGAGGAGACCACACAGUCAGCAGAAACGCUUGAGCAGUCAGUGUUUGACACUCUGAAGUUUGAAGCUGAGGAGUUGCCUGCCUUGGAGUUAAUUGAGGACGAUGAGAUCAGCACCUAUAUCCAGAAUCCUUCAGUGACAGUUAAAGAAGAAAAACUGGAGUUUGAUGGCACUGACUCAUGUACGGUUAUUCCUUACCCUGUCCAGAGGACACAUGAGAAAAGCCACAACAAAUUCUUUCAGGCUCCUUGUACUCCCCAUGGCUGAACACCAGGUGUCACUUGUGUUCACGUUAGGACCAGAUCUGAGGGAAGGAAUACGUUUGAGCUGCUUCUCUGGCCUUAACCAAUUGGGUUGAGAAUGAAAGAGGAAAGGCUGAAUGUAGGAAUGGAAGGUUCCGAACAGAUGAAGACAAGGAGAAAGAAGCUUGUUGCAAUGUGACAUUGAUUAUGAGGCCCAAUACUGCAUUCAUUUCUUUUUCUGUUUCCUGAAUGUUCUUUAGUUAAGUGUUCGCUACACAGUGUGUAGAAAAAGUCAAACGAUAUGGAGAAAAAGGAAAAAAAAAAAGCCAAGAUAAAUAGGUACCAAGCUUGGACACAUGCGAUGUCAAAAGUCAUUCCUCUAUUUCUACACACAUUCAAGUGAAGUUGAUUUUGAGGGAAAUAUCAAUAAUUUACUUGCGUGUGCCUGGCCUCAUACGAAUACUUUUGAAACGUUUUGGGUCAAAAUACUAGACGAAGCAGUGUUCCCAGUGCAUUUUCAUGUAUGGAACUCAAAGUGGUUAUCAGGUUUAAAGCUUGCUUUUUUGUAUCCUGAAUAUGUGCAGGGUGAAAUAAAAUGUUAUGACUUAAGUGUUGUGGAGUGAAAUGUUCUGCCCACUGUCAGAAAGCCGAUGAGUCCUCCCAGCAGGAUAAUGGCCUAAAUCAUACAACUAAAA